rnacentral:rRNA from 1 species
UACGAAGGGGGCUAGCGUUGUUCGGAAUCACUGGGCGUAAAGCGCACGUAGGCGGAUCUUUAAGUCAGGGGUGAAAUCCCGAGGCUCAACCUCGGAACUGCCUUUGAUACUGGGGAUCUCGAGUCCGGGAGAGGUGAGUGGAACUGCGAGUGUAGAGGUGAAAUUCGUAGAUAUUCGCAAGAACACCAGUGGCGAAGGCGGCUCACUGGCCCGGAACUGACGCUGAGGUGCGAAAGUGUGGGGAGCGAACAGG